rnacentral:rRNA from 1 species
GAUGAACGCUGGCGGCGUGCCUAAUACAUGCAAGUCGAGCGAACAGACGAGGAGCUUGCUCCUCUGACGUUAGCGGCGGACGGGUGUGUAACACGUGUAUAACCUACCUAUAAGACGGGGAUAACUUCGGGAAACCGGAUCUAAUACCGUAUAAUAUAUUGAACCGCAGUGUUCAAUAGUGAAAGACGGUUUUGCGGUCACUUAUAGAUGGAUCCGCGCCGUAUGAGCUAGUUGGGAAGGUAACCGCUUACCAAGGCAACGAUGCGUAGCCGACGUGAGAGGCGGAUCGGCCACAUUGGAAGUUGGCCAGCGUCCAUACUCCUGCGGGAGGCCGCAGUCGGCAACAGUCCGCAACGGGCGAAAACAUGGCGGAACAGCGCGGCGUGAGUGAUAACAGUCUUCGGAUCGUAAUGAUCUCUUACUAGGGAAAAACCACUGUGUAAGUAAAUAUACCCGUCUUGACGGUACCUAAUAAGAAAGCAACGGCUAACUACGUG